UACGUAGGGGCCGAGCGUUGUCCGGAGUUAUUGGGCGUAAAGCGCGCGCAGGCGGCCUCGCGCGCCCGACGUGAAAGCCCCCGGCUUAGCCGGGGAGGGUCGUUGGGGACGGCGGGGCUUGAGGGCGGGAGAGGGUGGUGGAAUUCCCGGUGUAGUGGUGAAAUGCGUAGAGAUCGGGAGGAACACCUGCGGCGAAGGCGGGUUGCUGGGCUGACACUGACGCUGAGGCGCGAAAGCUAGGGGAGCGAACGGG
rnacentral:rRNA from 1 species